AUUGAACGCUGGCGGCAGGCCUAACACAUGCAAGUCGAGCGGCAGCGGGACCUUCGGGUUGCCAGCGAGCGGCGGACGGGUGAGUAAUGCCUAGGAAUCUGCCUGUUAGUGGGGGAUAACGCGGGGAAACUCGCGCUAAUACCGCAUACGUCCUACGGGAGAAAGUGGGGGACCUUUGGGCCUCACGCUAACAGAUGAGCCUAGGUCGGAUUAGCUAGUUGGUGGGGUAACGGCCCACCAAGGCGACGAUCCGUAACUGGUCUGAGGGGAUGAUCAGUCACACUGGAACUGAGACACGGUCCAGACUCCUACGGGAGGCAGCAGUGGGGAAUAUUGGACAAUGGGCGAAAGCCUGAUCCAGCCAUGCCGCGUGUGUGAAGAAGGUCUUCGGAUUGUAAAGCACUUUAAGCCGGGAGGAAGGGCUGUAGGCGAAUACCCUGCAGUCUUGACGUUACCGGCAGAAUAAGCACCGGCUAACUUCGUGCCAGCAGCCGCGUAACAC
rnacentral:rRNA from 1 species